AUUUGCAUCAAACUUUAUUUCCCGUCUGUAAUUUUGUUCUUCCACCCUGCAGAUUGUUCUUAUAUGUUACAUAACACUAGUAGGAGUACAACAGAAGGGAAGUGGCAGAGAGGGAAUGACAGAGGCAGGCCUAAGCAUGUUCCUUAUAUUCUUCUAUCUCCUAUUUAUUGCAUGGGUCACCAUCAUGAGUGGGCAUUUGCUUACUGGGCAAAGGAGUAGAACCCACAUAUGGUUGUUUGACCAUGCUGGAAGUGACCGCUUGCCCAAAACUGAAUUAGAAGGAGAGGUCUAAGGAGGCAAAUUUCAUCGACAAGUCACUGUCUGCACUGGAGAAUUAGAGGAGGCACAACCAACUAAGAAUCAUGUCAUGUGAAAGGUACAAGCUAUUGUGGUUAUCCUAGGGCAUAUGGUAGUUUUUUUGAUAGAAGAUUUAAAGGAGUAGCAUUACGAGAGAUAUGUGACUGGACUUUUUGUGUACGCUCUUACCCAUUG